GAUACAUAUGUAUCUAAACGGCAACACUGUAACUAAGCCUCUGGUGGAGCUAAACAACUGAACUGAAUUCAUUAAAAGAUUUACUCUCUCAACAACAUCUCACUCUCACACUGGCCCACCAUAUCUCUCUAAGAAGUUCGUGCACUUAUCAUACAGAUACGAAUUGGACAGCAACAACAAUCCCCCUAGCAAUUUAAAGGCAGUCAAUAGCUUUAUAGCCGCCAGAGCAGUGGCAAAUGAUGACAGCAACAUGGGCGCUUAAUGGAAUUUAACUCAAUAAACGAGAAAAAGCGGACGUGCACACACACACACACACACCACAGUACGACAACUCACAACACUCCAUAUGUUCGCUACUCCAACUUAACUUUCUUCGUUUUCGAUUUAAGAGCUGUAUUUGUAUGUGUUACUGUAUUGUAAAUACAAAUCAUUUUAAUGGAUGUCAUUUAAAUUUUUAUUACUUCGGCAACAUGUUGCUGAGCUCGCACAAGCAAGUGUUGCAAGUGAAGAAUUGCUGCUCGUAUGCUAACAAUUAGUGUGGCAAUUUUUGGAUAGUUGGUAGUGCGCAUGUGUGUAAGCUUACACUUGUGUUUAAAUGUUGCCAAUAAAUAAUCACCCGGUGAGAAAAUGGGAAUGCAUUACCUUUUUCUACCAAGAAAAGAUUACCGACUACGUUGGAACGAAAAGAUGCAUCGCAAUGUAAGCGAGGGGAAGGCACAAACAAAACAAACAAUUUGGGAACUAACUUAAGAAUAGUAAUUAUAAAAUUUUAUGCACUGCGAUUUUUUUCAUUACACUGGAUUAGCAGAGCUUUAUAUCAAAAGAAAAUGGCUUGGGCAUAUUGUAUGCAUGAGCGAUGGACAACGAAAACAAUGAACAAAAUAUAAGGACCAAAUGCAGAAAGACCUAUUCUACAUUCGGGAUGAACGACCGGCGCAAAUCUGCAAAGUCUCAAAAAGAAAAACGGUUGUUCUGCUAAAUAAGAAGAAGAAGAAGAUAGAAAACACUUAUCGGAAAAUUCUUCAUUUUGUCCCACUGCACACGACAGCCAAUUACGUAGAGCAGCAAAAACGACAUCUGAGUAAACACAAUUUUAUAUGUCUAAAUAAUUACUAAAAUUGUCCCAUCAUUUGUAUACAUACAUACAUUUAUUUCCUUGAAAUGUUUGGUACUCUUACUGCUGACCAAUUUGCUCUACUCAUUUUUCACAUAGAGUUGGUAUUCGGGCACAUAAAUUGUUUAAGGUUAGUACUUUACAAUUAUUUGCUGGGUAUAACAAUUAACUUAAUUAAUUUUAUGUAAUUCUUCUUUCCCACUCACUUCUCUCUUUUCAGUUUCUCUCUGUCAAUGCAGCAUUGCAUUUGUCGAGUUACUCGUAACUAUUACAUAUCUGGUUCCAUACACAGUACACCGUUAAGCUUAAAAUUUAAACAAUUUGACUAGUUGAAUUCCAUUCCACACA